CCAGCGGGAGGCGCGGACGUCGUGUGUCCCAACCUUGUCACAAAAACAUUUUUGGUUGGCCUUGAAUUUGUAUUUUAAUCAUGAUGGGAAGCUGCAUGAACUGAAUCACUUUAGCAGUUGCCAAAGAAACUAGAGACUUUUUAAGAGGAGGAAAGACAUCUAAUGUUUGACAGAAUUAUAUCUUUGGCACCCUGAACUUUCUUAACUUGUUCCAGUCAGGAAAUUAGAAAAUGAUGAUACAGUCUGUGGAGGCCUACUUAACAUGUGGGAGCUCGAACUAAUAAUGGAGGAUUUAAGUCUUUCCGAACAUAAAGCUGCAGCUGUACCAGAAGAUCAAGUCAGAAGAUGGAAGAAGAGUCCUGUGGUAUGGGGAAGACCCUGUUUAGUGCAGAAAUAUGGAGUACUCUACCUUCUGA